UGUCUGUGGUACCAACGUGAUCAGUGUCCCAGCACUGACCUGUUGUAUAUUUUGGGAAUGUGAUGGGGGAGCUAGCCAAGGCCUAUAAAAUCCGGACAGACCCUGAAAAGCACCACCUCCCUAAGCUCCCUUGGCCCAGAGGCUAGAUGCACAGGAGCCCAAGAACCCUGGUUGGGGUUGGGGGACCUCUGUGGUUUGGGAGUGGGGGGAGACUUGGGUGUGGCACCCAAGUGAAGGCAUUUUGGCUUCACUUUCUAUUGUGCAAAAAGCCAGACAGGGAGGGGGGCAGCCUGGCUUCCCACUGGUUAGUGUUAUUUGCCUCAGUUACCUUUUCUGCAAACUAGAUCUCAACAAACAGCAGCGCCGCAUCCUCUCUGUCUGAUACUCCUGAGCUGCUGCAGAAACCUUUUUCCUGCUUUCUGGUCUUCCUCCACCUCCACCCCACCUCAGAAUCCCCCUUCCGAAAUAAUGCCCAUCAGAUGUUCUUUAACCUGAGUGCACAGGCCCUGGGAGUGCCACCGCAGUCCAGCUACUCCGCCCACAGGACAGGGAGAUGGGGGGACUCAGAGCCAGUGAAUUGUGCUGUGUGGCUGCUGGUAACUGUCCUGAAGGGACUGUUUUCUGAUCACGACAGAGGCCUGUGUCCUCAGGAAUGGACAUGCUGCAGGCAUUGAGGGGCCUGUGGCUCUUGGUUGGCAUUUCAUUCAGUCAUCCAUCCCAUAGACCUUUGCAGACAUUUGUACUGGUCAGGGGGUCAAUGUGUUGAGCUGCUGGAUAGAGGAGGCAGGCCUGGAGGUGAUGGGAGGGUGUGUCCAGAGGGCACUGGGCCACAUUCACUCCAGGCACAUCCUGGUGAUACUUGUCCCUCUGUGUCCUCGAGGCCAGUUCUGUCCCCACCUACUUGGCAGUCACAUAUCACAGUUGCUUGUCUGGAGAGACUGGUGUCCCCUCCUGUGGGAGCGCAGCCCCAGAGGCCUUCCCCGAGCAGGGGUGUGGGCUCUGUUUCAGGAGCCAGCCCUGUCACCCCCUCCCCAGCACCUGCCUGCAGAGUCAAGUAAUAAAAGCCACUGUGCUCAUGUGUAA